GCCUUCGGGCAUUUGGUCAAUUUGCAAAAAUACAGAGAAGGUAAAUAUCUCCCAGAUGAAUUCCCUCCUUACAGCGAUAUACUAACUAAGUCCUACAGAUUAGCAUGGUCCCUGCACAAGGAUGACACGCUCAAUCAAAGAGAAGCUACCAAUUUUU
rnacentral:snRNA from 1 species